ensembl:lncRNA
GGCGGACAUGCGAAAGUUCGUGCUGAGGUCUAUUCCAACCUAGGAAGUGUUAUGAACAGCUGAUCGGAUCGGCAAAACGUGUUUCUGGAAUAUUAUGUUUUUGUUGCUGCAAGCGCUUUUUAUGCAGUUUUUGCAAAGCUAUAUGUGGAAGGAAACUGUGACCUAGGACAAGCUGAUGGCAUAAGAUCCAGGGACGGCUGCUCGGUAGCUGCAAUACAGAAGCCCUAAUCAGAGGCACGAGUAGGCCUUAUGCGCAUCGAUUUCAUGCAGUGUGUUUGGAGGAGUGAGCUGAAAUGAAGACAGAGUGACGGAGGACACGAGCACUAGGCAUGCUGUCAACAUUUAAAUAUCAUCAGCUGUUCUUUGUUUGUAAUGCUGCCCCACGGUUGAUGAGCACAGUUCUGAC